rnacentral:lncRNA from 1 species
CAUCUCUGAUAGGGAGAAGCCGUUGCUGACACAGAUGAUGGCUGUUGCGGCUGGUCUGGAAGCAGGCCCGGUGAUCUCUGGGAUUGGGGGGAGAGAGAGCAGGCCCCUCCUUCCCAGAGGCUGCUCCCCCAGACAGAGGGCUUGGGGGCUUGGGUUGCUGUGUGGGGACAAAGGGGAACGGUUCUUGAACUCAAAAGUCCUAAGUUGUCUCCACUGGGGUCUGAAAGGAAGCGGUUGGGGAACCGGGGAUGGGCCAUUGGCCCUGGGAGCCCCGGAGAAGUGGCUCUAUUUUCCCUACGGGGACCUGCUCGGGCACAGAAAGGAAAUCCAAGGGCUCUUCAAGGCUGAGGUCUGGGCCCUUGUUUGCCAGAGGAGGCGAGUGAAGCCUCGGAGAAGCUCAGUGACCAAUUCCAGUUGGGAAAGCGGGUGAUGUCAGGUCGGGCUUCUGGGAUGUGGCUGCAGGACUCAAAUCCCCACCCAAGGCAUCGAACGAGGGGACUUGGCGCAAUCUGCAGAGGAACCCUGGCCAGUCCUCUUGUGGCACAGAUUGGGGAAGUGAUGUUCUAGGCCCCCCAGGCUGAGAUUGGAGCCAGGCCCUUAAACCCAAGUGAUCAGCAGCUUCAGGAGGCAAAGGAGCUCAAGAAUUCUCUGGCCUAGGGAGGGGCCCUACAGCCAAACACAAGUGGUCCAGGGAAUAAGAGACAGGGAGGGGGAGCAGGGGGAGGGAGAAGGGGGACCAGCAGGAGGGAGAAGGGAGGAACAGAGGGAGGGAAGGGAGGAACAGAGGGAGGGAAGGGGAGGAACAGAGGGAGGGAAGGGGACCAAGAGGAGGGAGAAGGGAGGAACAGAGGGAGGGAAGGGGGGACCAGCAGGAGGGAGAAGGGAGGAACAGAGGGAGGGAGAAGGGAGGAACAGAGGGAGGGAAGGGGGGUAAAGGGGGAAAGAAACCUCUGACCAGCCUAAGCCGAAGCAAAACUCUUCUGCAGACGAAAUCUGUCACCAGAACCCCCCUCCCCGGUGACCUUUAAACUUGCUUCCUCCCCUGCCAGGUUUCUGGGGGCAUCCAGUAA